UUAAUGUUACCUGCGUUUCGCGUUCUGCAUGAAUGGACCCUAAUUAUCACGAUCCAUUAAAUAUCACUCUUUCUAAACACCGAGCAUAUAUUAAUAAUUGUUAUUUAGACACUGACAGUGCGUUAUUAAUCAGGAUCUGUGCACACUAAAAAAUCCUGGGUUAUUUUUUCUACCCAAGUGCUGGGUUGAGCCAUUUGGGUAAAUUUUUUGGGUUAUUUUCUCAGUCUUGGGUAGUUUUUGGGUAGUUCUAUGUAACCCAACCGCUGGGUUAUUUUCUGGGUCGUUUUCACUGAGAGCUGAAUCAAUGCACCCCCUCCCCCACUCGGACGCAAUAACCCAGCUCAUUGGGUCAAAUCAACUCCGCGCAGGAUCAGCGCAGCGCGGGCUGACUGAAUUCGAGGUGGAGGUGGAUGCCACACACACGCUGUAAUAUUUGGAGAAAUAAGACCUGCUCUUGACUGUCCGUGGUGGCAAAUCCACAGCCUUUAGCUGGAGAAUCAACCGUAUCUGAAGAGAGAGCUGAGGAAAUUAAACAAUGGCUGAGAAACAACACACAGCCCAUCAGCCAGGUGGAACAGUACAUCUGAAAAAUAUGUUUGAGGUCCUCCAUGAGUUUCCUCGGCUAACUACCUCAGGCAUGAUUGCACAGGACUUUCACAUUUUACAUUAAGAUGAAGCCCCAAAACUGUUUGAAAAAUGGCUGGUAUACUGACAGGAUCUUGCUUUUUGUGAGCGAGAAGCAAAGCUUUCAUGUACAGCUGAAGAAAUGACAGAAGAUGCAAAGGGAAAUCUUGCACUAAAGCUAUUACCUGUUUUGCUUCUACCUCCACCCUACAAAUUUGGCAGAAAAACAGUCCGACCCAGCAUUGAUGAAAGCAAAAAAGCUUUCAUUGACAUUCAGCCUGUUGGAACAAAUAUGGUGGAGUACCUCCAGCAGGCUGAAGCAUCAAGACCUUACCCAUAUGUCCUGUAACUUGAAAAUGGACACAUUGCGUCGCGGGCAUUUGUCAUCCUCGCAGGAGAAGCUUUGGAACAAAGAACUAUUGUUUAAGGGGAAGUCAUGGCCUAAUGGUUAGAGAGUUGGACUCGCAAUUUAAGGGUUGUGUGUUCGAGUCUCGGGCCGACAGGAAUUGUAGGUGAGAGGAGUGAAUGUAUAGUGCUCUCUUCCACCCUCAAUACCACGACUUAGGUGCCCUUGAGCAAGGCAUCGAACCCCCAACUGCUCCCCGGGUGCCGCAGCAUAAAUGGCUGCCCACUGCUCCGGGUGUGUGUUCACAGUG